CUCUGUCACCCACUGGAAGCUUACUCCCCAGUCGGCAGCUCCACAAGGCCUCAUCUGCCCGUCCAUGUGGCCUUUGCAACUGCUAGCCUGGGCUGCUUCCUUUACACCACAGGUCGCCACGCGCGUUUGCAGCAGCCAAUGGGAAAGAAGGAGCAAAUCCUUGUACACCAAUCCUGGCGAUGAGCUAUCAAAUUUGUUUACGGCUGCAUAUCUACGUUUCAUCUGCCCUCAUAUGCACUAGCGGAGCUUGAACAAGAAACAUGGGCGAGCUAGCAGUUGAAGGGAAGCCUGGAUGUAGACUUGUGGUCAGAUACAAGCACAAAGUCAAGAAUAAAGCUUGAACAAGAAUAUUGGGUGAGCCACGGCCUGGGUUGGCCCCGACGUAGCUCCGCCAUUGCUCAUAUGUGUUGUGAAUCUGUGAUAUACUAGCAUAAUAUAUGUGUUUCAUACUUACAUGCUUCCGCCCCUUCUGAUAUUGUUUCUAUUACAAUCGAACUUUGCUCCAACCAUUUGCAAUCAUGCUUCCAUUACUUACAUUUUUGCAUAAGGUGAUAUCAGUUUUUGCUUCUUAUUAUUCCCACUAUUGUUUUAGAAAUUGAUACAACCACUACUACCAUGCAAUGUGCAUCUCGAGGCUUCAACACGUCCAUCCAUGAUUCAUAUGACAACGACUGUGACAACAACUGCCGUAUCAUAGUUUACGAGGACGAUGAGCACGAAGCCUAGCCACGUCUGCUAGCUUCGUCGUGGAAUGAAAGAACUCAACGUUAUUAUGCUUCACCUUACUGUGCUUCCUUGUACUGCUUAUAAACAAUAUUGAUACUGACUGUAUAUUAUGCUUCACCUUCAUGUACUUCUUGUGUCCAUAGUUGUGCUUCGUCAAGGUUUUCAGAUUGAUAUGUUAUAGAGGCAUCAUGAAGGAGGCUGAGUUCAAGCACCUGUUAAAGAGUUGAUUUGUAGCAUGACGGUUGAAUGAUGCAUGGGACGAGUAGUCUAUGCAUUGCCUCGUCGAUGCGACGAUGCAAGCCUCGCAGUUAUAAAGCAGUGCAAUGGCGAGAGAACAAUCGACCUGUGGUCUAGCAGUGUGUUGGCGACCAAGCAAAUUUCCCCCAUCCAGCAACGGCGGAUCCUCGUAUUAUUCUCCUACAGGAAAAUUUCUUGUAGACACCACAUGAUGCGUUCAUUGGGAGCAUCUUUUUAUUCGUGAAUUUGACAUGAGUGUGUAGGAAGAAAACAGAAGAGUCCAUGGAAACAUAGAAUAUUAGGAACUGAAAUUUAAAUACUUAUGAAGCAUUGUUCUAAUUGACAAGAAGCGU